rnacentral:tRNA from 1 species
GUUGUGGCUCAGUGGUACAGUGCAUGCCUGGCAUGGGUGAGGUGCUAGGUUUGAUCCUCAGCACACA